CAAACGGAGGAGUUGGAGGAGAGGAAAUGGAAGUGGUGAUAAUCUUCAAUAUCACCAAGACAAGGUGUUAAAGCUGAAGAGACUUAUCCCAGGGCGUUAAGGGAUGGGGGAGAUAAAGGGAUUGUGGAUGAGCAACUGAAUGUAAUUUCAAGACUGGACCGAACCAAAGCAGACUAAACUCUAGUUUGUAUUUAAUUACUGGUAUUUGGAGAUUAUAUCUACUCUUUCGUUGUAAGUAUUGUUUACUUGCAAAACGAUAUAGUUAAAUUUGUUACGUGAUU